CCUACGGGGGGCUGCAGUGGGGAAUAUUGGACAAUGGGGGGAACCCUGAUCCAGCCAUGCCGCGUGUGUGAAGAAGGCCCUCGGGUUGUAAAGCACUUUCAGUGAGGAAGAACGCCUGGUGGUUAAUACCCAUCAGGAAAGACAUCACUCACAGAAGAAGCACCGGCUAACUCCGUGCCAGCAGCCGCGGUAAUACGGAGGGUGCGAGCGUUAAUCGGAAUUACUGGGCGUAAAGCGCGCGUAGGUGGCUUGAUAAGCCGGUUGUGAAAGCCCCGGGCUCAACCUGGGAACGGCAUCCGGAACUGUCAAGUUAGAGUGCAGGAGAGGAAGGUAGAAUUCCCGGUGUAGCGGUGAAAUGCGUAGAGAUCGGGAGGAAUACCAGUGGCGAAGGCGGCCUUCUGGACUGACACUGACACUGAGGUGCGAAAGCGUGGGUAGCAAACAGGAUUAGAUACCCUGGUAGUC
rnacentral:rRNA from 1 species